UACGUAGGGUGCAAGCGUUGUUCGGAAUCAUUGGGCGUAAAGCGCGUGUAGGCGGUUAGUUAAGUCAGAUGUGAAAUCCCGAGGCUCAACCUCGGAACUGCCUUUGAUACUGGGGAUCUCGAGUCCGGAAGAGGUUGGUGGAACUCCGAGUGUAGAGGUGAAAUUCGUAGAUAUUCGGAAGAACACCAGUGGCGAAGGCGGCUCACUGGCCCGGAACUGACGCUGAGACGCGAAAGCGUGGGGAGCAAACAGG
rnacentral:rRNA from 1 species